UUAAGCGACUAAGCGUACACGGUGGAUGCCCUGGCAGUCAGAGGCGAUGAAGGACGUGCUAAUCUGCGAUAAGCGUCGGUAAGGUGAUAUGAACCGUUAUAACCGGCGAUUUCCGAAUGGGGAAACCCAGUGUGUUUCGACACACUAUCAUUAACUGAAUCCAUAGGUUAAUGAGGCGAACCGGGGGAACUGAAACAUCUAAGUACCCCGAGGAAAAGAAAUCAACCGAGAUUCCCCCAGUAGCGGCGAGCGAACGGGGAGCAGCCCAGAGCCUGAAUCAGUGUGUGUGUUAGUGGAAGCGUCUGGAAAGGCGCGCGAUACAGGGUGACAGCCCCGUACACAAAAAUGCACAUGUUGUGAGCUCGAUGAGUAGGGCGGGACACGUGGUAUCCUGUCUGAAUAUGGGGGGACCAUCCUCCAAGGCUAAAUACUCCUGACUGACCGAUAGUGAACCAGUACCGUGAGGGAAAGGCGAAAAGAACCCCGGCGAGGGGAGUGAAAAAGAACCUGAAACCGUGUACGUACAAGCAGUGGGAGCACGCUUAGGCGUGUGACUGCGUACCUUUUGUAUAAUGGGUCAGCGACUUAUAUUCUGUAGCAAGGUUAACCGAAUAGGGGAGCCGAAGGGAAACCGAGUCUUAACUGGGCGUUAAGUUGCAGGGUAUAGACCCGAAACCCGGUGAUCUAGCCAUGGGCAGGUUGAAGGUUGGGUAACACUAACUGGAGGACCGAACCGACUAAUGUUGAAAAAUUAGCGGAUGACUUGUGGCUGGGGGUGAAAGGCCAAUCAAACCGGGAGAUAGCUGGUUCUCCCCGAAAGCUAUUUAGGUAGCGCCUCGUGAAUUCAUCUCCGGGGGUAGAGCACUGUUUCGGCAAGGGGGUCAUCCCGACUUACCAACCCGAUGCAAACUGCGAAUACCGGAGAAUGUUAUCACGGGAGACACACGGCGGGUGCUAACGUCCGUCGUGAAGAGGGAAACAACCCAGACCGCCAGCUAAGGUCCCAAAGUCAUGGUUAAGUGGGAAACGAUGUGGGAAGGCCCAGACAGCCAGGAUGUUGGCUUAGAAGCAGCCAUCAUUUAAAGAAAGCGUAAUAGCUCACUGGUCGAGUCGGCCUGCGCGGAAGAUGUAACGGGGCUAAACCAUGCACCGAAGCUGCGGCAGCGACGCUUAUGCGUUGUUGGGUAGGGGAGCGUUCUGUAAGCCUGUGAAGGUGUGCUGUGAGGUAUGCUGGAGGUAUCAGAAGUGCGAAUGCUGACAUAAGUAACGAUAAAGCGGGUGAAAAGCCCGCUCGCCGGAAGACCAAGGGUUCCUGUCCAACGUUAAUCGGGGCAGGGUGAGUCGACCCCUAAGGCGAGGCCGAAAGGCGUAGUCGAUGGGAAACAGGUUAAUAUUCCUGUACUUGGUGUUACUGCGAAGGGGGGACGGAGAAGGCUAUGUUGGCCGGGCGACGGUUGUCCCGGUUUAAGCGUGUAGGCUGGUUUUCCAGGCAAAUCCGGAAAAUCAAGGCUGAGGCGUGAUGACGAGGCACUACGGUGCUGAAGCAACAAAUGCCCUGCUUCCAGGAAAAGCCUCUAAGCAUCAGGUAACAUCAAAUCGUACCCCAAACCGACACAGGUGGUCAGGUAGAGAAUACCAAGGCGCUUGAGAGAACUCGGGUGAAGGAACUAGGCAAAAUGGUGCCGUAACUUCGGGAGAAGGCACGCUGAUAUGUAGGUGAAGCGACUUGCUCGUGGAGCUGAAAUCAGUCGAAGAUACCAGCUGGCUGCAACUGUUUAUUAAAAACACAGCACUGUGCAAACACGAAAGUGGACGUAUACGGUGUGACGCCUGCCCGGUGCCGGAAGGUUAAUUGAUGGGGUUAGCGCAAGCGAAGCUCUUGAUCGAAGCCCCGGUAAACGGCGGCCGUAACUAUAACGGUCCUAAGGUAGCGAAAUUCCUUGUCGGGUAAGUUCCGACCUGCACGAAUGGCGUAAUGAUGGCCAGGCUGUCUCCACCCGAGACUCAGUGAAAUUGAACUCGCUGUGAAGAUGCAGUGUACCCGCGGCAAGACGGAAAGACCCCGUGAACCUUUACUAUAGCUUGACACUGAACAUUGAGCCUUGAUGUGUAGGAUAGGUGGGAGGCUUUGAAGUGUGGACGCCAGUCUGCAUGGAGCCGACCUUGAAAUACCACCCUUUAAUGUUUGAUGUUCUAACGUUGACCCGUAAUCCGGGUUGCGGACAGUGUCUGGUGGGUAGUUUGACUGGGGCGGUCUCCUCCUAAAGAGUAACGGAGGAGCACGAAGGUUGGCUAAUCCUGGUCGGACAUCAGGAGGUUAGUGCAAUGGCAUAAGCCAGCUUGACUGCGAGCGUGACGGCGCGAGCAGGUGCGAAAGCAGGUCAUAGUGAUCCGGUGGUUCUGAAUGGAAGGGCCAUCGCUCAACGGAUAAAAGGUACUCCGGGGAUAACAGGCUGAUACCGCCCAAGAGUUCAUAUCGACGGCGGUGUUUGGCACCUCGAUGUCGGCUCAUCACAUCCUGGGGCUGAAGUAGGUCCCAAGGGUAUGGCUGUUCGCCAUUUAAAGUGGUACGCGAGCUGGGUUUAGAACGUCGUGAGACAGUUCGGUCCCUAUCUGCCGUGGGCGCUGGAGAACUGAGGGGGGCUGCUCCUAGUACGAGAGGACCGGAGUGGACGCAUCACUGGUGUUCGGGUUGUCAUGCCAAUGGCACUGCCCGGUAGCUAAAUGCGGAAGAGAUAAGUGCUGAAAGCAUCUAAGCACGAAACUUGCCCCGAGAUGAGUUCUCCCUGACUCUUUGAGGGUCCUGAAGGAACGUUGAAGACGACGACGUUGAUAGGCCGGGUGUGUAAGCGCAGCGAUGCGUUGAGCUAACCGGUACUAAUGAACCGUGAGGCUUAACCUU
rnacentral:rRNA from 1 species